rnacentral:lncRNA from 1 species
UUUUUUUUUUUUUUUUUUUUUGGAAUUAUAGCCUUUUUCCCAAAUGACACUAAAAUAAGCAUGGGAAAGCAGCAUUGUAGAUACAGUAAUGAAUUUCAAGUGAAUAUCCUUUUUCCCCUCAAUGUAUUGCUUAUGUUAAACACUGUGGGGGGGGAUACUGCUGUCAAUUAUUAACAUAAGGAUAAAACUUAAAGGUGAUGCUCUCUUGCUAAUUGAAAUAAUUUUCUAGUUUCUUGAACAUAGGUGGCAAAACUUCAAUAGAAAUUUCUCCCACUCUGACUGUGAUGGAUAUAGAUAACUAAUUUCUCCUUUAUGCGAGUAUUUCCCUCACAAAACAAUAGAAUCCAGUAGGUAAAUGCACCUUUAAGGAAAGAGGAAUUUUCAGCUGUAGUUUUGACAUGUUACAGGAGCACGGACAUACUUUGAGCACUUGGUUUCUUCAAAAGCUGAUGAUGCCUAAUGUAAGUGCUUUUAUAUGGCAUUAUAAUAACCAAUGAUAAAAGAAUUUUAAUUGCUUUUGCACUUACCCCAGAAGUCAAUAUAAAUUAUUUAUUCUGGGUUUUCUCUGUUGACUCCAGUGGAGUCAGCAUAGUUUAUGUAAUGGUGACUGAAAACAGGAUUUGGCCAACUGGCUUCAGUCUUUUUACUUGUUCUACCAAGUCAACUCAAUUCUACACUGAAGUGAUUGAAGGAGGCAGGACUGGGCCUCAUGUUUUGCAAAGAUGUUCAGCUUGAUGCAACAGAAGUAUGGAAGACAAUAUACUUAGCCAAAUGAAGACUGGGAGACAAACUCACUGAUCAGGCAGUCACUUGUCAACACAUCUGCCCAGCAAAAAUGGCCAAGCCCUGGCACUACACAGGCUCCAGGGGAAAAGGACUGAGCUGCUGGUGGAUGGACAAAGACGAGCAGUGACAGGCUGGGAUCAUCACUCACUGCAUGGUGACCGUGCUGUAAUGGAUGCAAUUGGAGAUGAGAUGAGUAAAGGAUGAGGUGGGCUUAGAAAUGCAUCCUGGUGAGGCCCAGAGCUGAGCACUAAGCUCAAAGGCAGCUGGUUCCCCAAAGCAGCCAAAGUCAUACAAAUGAAUCACACCCGCUUAAAGCCAUUGCAACAGAGCCAUGAGGGGCGGCCCUGUAAUGGAAAACAGUCAGGAUCCUCCUUUGGGUGAUAGAUUUUUAACAGCCUUUUUUCUACAGGCUGAACCUGACUGAGCAAACCUAGACGCAAUGUCAAACUUAGCAGUCUUCAAAAUUUGGAUGGAAAACACUAUCAGAUUCUGUUGGGCAGAAAACGUGCGUUUCAUGAAGAAAACCUCUUUCUUAAAAAUUAACCUGCUGCAAGUGUUUAAAAGUCUAGCUCAUUCUGAACACUUUAAAACAAAAGUGACUAUAACAUUUCAGAAAUGGGUCUCUAUUGAGUCAGAGGUUCAACAGUUAAAUACAUUUAAAGGUCCAAAGUUUAAUGAUGUAGACUGUAGAACGACUCUCUUAAACUGCCUAAUUCUUCUAAAGCAUGUCAUUUUUUAUGGCAACUGGACUUUUCUGAAAUAGAGCUGCAGAUUUCCUUUUUUCUCUUAUGAUUUCGUGACCUGCUCAGAGGAUGCAGCUCACUGCACCUUCCCAUUCUGGGUGUCUGUGAACAGGCAUGAGACUGAUGGAGCUCAGUUUACCACCGUCAGUCCUACCUGUGAUCAGAGCUCAGGUGGGGAGUACAGCACAGCCCAAUGAAGUAUUUCAGUGUACACUUCAGGCUCUAAGAUUCAAACAGUGAAACCAAACCCAAAGAGACUCUUUGGAUGCUUAAAAAUACUGCCAGACUCAAGCAUGUCAAUGGAAGAGCCUGAAGUAUUCCCUGGUUUUUGGUGUAAGGACAAAGACAUAAAAUUACAAAAUCAAGCCAAAGGCAAUACUGAAGGCAGGCAGUGAACUUCCCAGUUCAUCCUAGAGAUAUUCCAUAUAAAACAUAAAAAAUUUCAAUGCUUUUUACAGACUCUACUGUCAAAAAGGCAAAUGGUCUGAAACAAUUUUAAAAAUGUCUUUCUAUUUUUGAACAAGUUAAAUAGUUUAAAUCAAAACUGAGAUUUUCAAAGAAGAGUUUUAUUUUCUGUUCAAUUUCUGGGAAAUGUCAAAUAAACUAUUCUCCUUCCCCUUUUCUCAGGCUGUACCUUUCUCUGAACAGCUGUACAUAUAUCAUUUGAUGUGGAGGGAAUUUUAUCACUGAGAUUUGAAACAAUUGAGAUAUUCUGGAAUAUAUGGCCUCCUGGAAUAAAUGUCCUUAACAAUCUGCAAGUACUUAUACAUAGCAGAGAAGCACAUUUAAUACCGACAAUCAAUGCACAGCUAAAAGCAAGCACCAGAAAUUCUGAAACAUGUGCACUUCUGGUUUUUACUCUUACAUUAUCAGGUUUUCUUUUGAGCAUUAUAAUACAGCUUCAGAAAUAAUCUGACACUGUUGUUCCCUUGUGACCUGGAUAUAAGAAGCUGCUGUCCUUCUCUUGCCUGUUGUCUUUUUUCAUGGAGGGUCUUCUGGGCUCUUGUUUCCUUGAGGAAAAUGCUACAGAAUGGUGGACAUCCCUGACUGUCAUUCAGGCACAUUUAAAAGCUAAAGGAUGUCCUUCCUCUCUCUGGAUCAAAAAAUUUCUCCCAUGCAACCAUGUUCAACAUUUUAAUACUCCUGUUGCACAAGAAAAAAUCUGGCAAUCUUUUCCCCAAGACUUUCUGAGGAACGUGUGAAUAGUCCAGUGCUGUAAAGGGGUAAAUUCCUUCAUCCUGUGACAUUGGUCCAUGGCAGUUACUGCAGAAGAUAAGCUAAUGACCCAAGAUUUGCAAGGGGACUGCCCCAUGCUGAGCCUUUCAGCUUUGUGAAGGCCACACGGAAGGUUUCAUUUGUCUCAUUAACUUUCCCACUAUACCAAUCAGAAGUUUAUUAUAGAGUAGUUUUCUCUUUUAACUUUUACAGUCCAUAUACCUCGGCAGGAGCCUGGGCACACUGACCCAAGACGCCCCUUCCAGUCCUGGCUUCCUAUGAGAUGCAGGAAAACAAAUCACAAAGGUCCAGAGCAGUAUUUUUACAAACUCUAAAUGAGAUGAAGCACAACAACAGAACAUAUGAUUACACCAACAACCUUCAAGGUAAUAUGACAGACACAAGCCAUAUUGUGCUGUAUAUAGACUAUACAAACAUUUCCACUUGAUUUCCUAAGGAAAUGAGGCUUAUGCAGUCAUGCCUUCUGUCUGUUCAUGUCUGCCCCUAAUAACAUUCAAAUCCACUGCCACAUUUCAAUACAAGUUGUCAGGGGAGAAGCAAAAGAUUUGGAGAUAAUUAUGUUCCUGCAGCUCUUGUCAUUGCACAGAGGAAAGAGACCUAAAUUAGUGCCCCCAGCUGAGGAAAAUCUCCUUGAAGGAGUGGGAUCAAUGGUUUCUUGUCCAGUCAGUACAAACAGCUUAUUUCCAGCCUUCCAAUCAGCCCAAGCAGAGCUCCACAGCACAUGCAGAGCUCCACAGCACAUGCAGCAGGAGCUGCCUUUUGCCCUUCUGCUCAUGAGUGGUCCUGGAAUCUGGGGGCCUCAUGAAGGUCCCUACAAGGUGCAUGGGAGACCCAGGACAUGGUUCCAUAGCAAAAUGAGUAUUGGUUGCUCCUGGAACAGCCCCUUAUAAUUUUCCCACAAAAUGAAUAUGAUAGUUUUGGAUUUUAAUUCCUUGGUUGGACAAUUUCUGCUCUGUUCGCUCUUGCAGCAGCCUCAAAGGGCCAGGAAUACAGCACACAGGCACUCAAGAAUGCUUGGUCAUACUAGUGGCUACAUUUUUCAUCUGAGAUCAAGAAAUUUUUCACAGGGCUCAGGAGUCCCUCAGAUCUUCCAAAGAUUCUUCUAUAGAGUCCAUGUCUCACUGUCCUAACCUUCCAGUAAUUUAUUAAACCAUAGGAGUCCCUGCUGACAUGCAAGGCUUGCUCUUUCUCACACUAAAGUUGAAUUUACCUAAAGUGAUUCUUUGCUUGAGGGUGUUCUUUGGAACCAGUUCAUCUUCCACAGUUCUCUUCCUUGCCCCCACACCCCACCACCUUUUCUUUUUAUUCCCAGGUCACAGACACUAAUCCUGCCCUACUCAGAGGCAUUCCAAAACACCUGUUAAAGAAAUGCGAAGUGGAUAGCAGCAUGAGAAGACACUCCUUGAAGCUGUGCUGGUGACAUGCAUCAUAUGGAAAAGCGUCGUGAAAGUGGCUGACUUCAGCAUCCUGUGGAGCAUUCUAAAUCCUGUCACUGUACUUUGGAGGAAAAAAAACCUCAAACCCUAAAUAUUUUAAAUUAGUAUAUUUGGGUGCAAGAAGAAUCACUCUGAAAAAAAAGGAGCAACUCUCUGAGAAACAUUUGACACAGUUUCCAAGACACUGAGAAUGUCAAGUAGAGCAGGUAAUGCAGCAACCAGAGAUCUGAGCAGAAGAAAAAGAAAACUUCAAUCCAAAUGUACCUUGAAGUACAAUACUUAUGGAUCCAGCAAGGUCUGACCUUUUAAGUAUAAAGCUAUUAAGUAGUUAGGCAUAAGGAGGAAGAGGAGAUCCAUUGCUUGUGAGAUAAACAGAAUACUGAUGCCAAGGCAGGGAGUCUUUUAAAAGUCAGAUCAAUUAAAUCAAUAAAGUAAUGACUGCAAUGCUUUACACACUUGGGAUGGAAAGCUUCCUCCCCUGCCAAGUUAUCUGACAUGUUUUUUUAAGAAUUAUUACGUGGAUAUAGCAUUUCUAAAGAUUGUGAUUUUUAAAAAGAUUUACACUUUUAUUCUUUGCUGAAAGAGUUAUUUCCUGGGGGCGUAGUCCUAUUUUUGAAGGAUUCACCAGCAGACCUUAUUUUUAGCAAGUAGUCAACCAUUCUGCCAACAAAGCAUUAUUCUUAAGAAUUAAUGAAUUAAUGCUGUUGUUAAAAUACUUUUUUUCAAGAAAGAUCCAGCAAAACUGAAACUGCUGUCAGGGCAACUGAACAAACAACACAACAUCCUUGAAACCCACUACUCUAAUACAGCUGGGCGCUGCUGCUGAAGUCAGUCUGUUUAUUUGCAUGGCUAUGAAUUGUGAAAAUUGAGCUUUUUUCUUUUUAAUGAGUUAUUGAUUUUAGAAAAUCACUCAAGACAGAAAAUCCAUACAUUAACAGGCUGGCUUCACUCGCCAAUACGUGUUAUUUUAUAGCACUUCUGAGAAAAUUCAAUGCAUAAAGUCCUUUCAGCCACUGCAGACAGGACAGAUCGAUGUGGCUCUGAGACAGAGAUCAGUGCUUUAGGGGGCUGAUCCAUAAGGAAAUACCUGGGAGACUCCUCCCUCACAGGGAUUAAGUAAUUCUUCAAGAUGACAAAGAUCUGAGAUCCAGAACUUGAGGGUGAAGUAGGUCUCCUGUUUAUUGUACACAGGGUUUUUAUGGAUUUCCAGCAGAUUUUUUU